rnacentral:rRNA from 1 species
UACGUAGGGGGCAAGCGUUGUUCGGAAUUACUGGGCGUAAAGCGCGCGUAGGCGGUUUGAAAAGUCAGUUGUGAAAUCUCCGGGCUUAACUCGGAAAGGUCAACUGAUACUGUGCGACUAGAGUGCAGAAGGGGCAACUGGAAUUCUCGGUGUAGCGGUGAAAUGCGUAGAUAUCGAGAGGAACACCUGCGACGAAGGCGGGUUGCUGGGCUGACACUGACGCUGAGGCGCGAAAGCCAGGGGAGCGAACGGG